AACAAACGCUGGCGGCGUGCCUAAUACAUGCAAGUCGAACGGGGAAAGCUUUCGGGUGAGUACUAGUGGCGCACGGGUGAGGAACGCGUGGAUAAUCUGCCUUAGAGUGGGGGAUAACUAGUCGAAAGAUUAGCUAAUACCGCAUAAGACCACGAGAGCUGCGGCUUUUGAGGUCAAAGGUUUUUGGCUCUAAGAUGAGUCCGCGUAAGAUUAGCUAGUUGGUGAGGUAACGGCUCACCAAGGCGACGAUCUUUAACUGGUCUGAGAGGAUGAUCAGUCACACUGGAACUGAGACACGGUCCAGACUCCUACGGGAGGCAGCAGUAGGGAAUAUUGCACAAUGGAGGAAACUCUGAUGCAGCGACGCCGCGUGAGUGAUGAAGGCCUUCGGGUCGUAAAGCUCUGUCGCAGGGGAAUAACACAAUGAAGGUACCCUGUAAGAAAGGAUCGGCUAACUUCGUG
rnacentral:rRNA from 1 species